CCGAAGAUUUAGUGUUUGUACAUUAUAAUCUACGGUUGCUAUCUAGUAAGAAAGAGAAAUAUAUAAAUGGGCCAAGCAAGUAUUGGGAUGUAGGUGGAGAUCAAUUUGAAGUUGAGGAUACAAUUAAUAAUUUAACCGAGCUAUCAAUAGGUGAACCUCAAUUGGAAGAAGUGGUUUUUGAUGAAGAAUUUGAAGAUUUGGAAGAAGUUGAAGAAGACGCGGAAUAGUAGUUAACUUAAGUAACUUGAUAGUGGACAUUUCUUUUUGUUCUGUUAGUUUUGAAUUGAUGUCUUAAGUUUGGAUGUUUUCUUGUGUUUGUUUAAUAAAGUAUCUUUAUAACUCUAUAUUUAUAAUAUUUAAUUCUUUUUAGCC